rnacentral:rRNA from 1 species
GACGUAGGAUGCGAGCGUUGUCCGGAUUUAUUGGGCGUAAAGAGUUCGUAGGCGGUUCGUUAAGUCUGAUGUUAAAGACUGGGGCUCAACCCCGGGAGUGCAUUGGAUACUGGCGGACUGGAGUGCGGUAGAGGUUAGUGGAAUUCCUGGUGUAGCGGUGAAAUGCGCAGAUAUCAGGAAGAACACCCGUGGCGAAAGCGGCUCUCUGGAACGGUACUGACGCUGAGACGCGAAAGCGUGGGGAGCGAACAGG